UACGAAGGGGGCUAGCGUUGCUCGGAAUCACUGGGCGUAAAGGGUGCGUAGGCGGGUCUUUAAGUCAGGGGUGAAAUCCUGGAGCUCAACUCCAGAACUGCCUUUGAUACUGAAGAUCUUGAGUCCGGGAGAGGUGAGUGCAACUGCGAGUGUAGAGGUGAAAUUCGUAGAUAUUCGCAAGAACACCAGUGGCGAAGGCGGCUCACUGGCCCGGUACUGACGCUGAGGCACGAAAGCGUGGGGAGCAAACAGG
rnacentral:rRNA from 1 species